AAGGCCGAGAGCUGAUGACGAGUGUUCUUUUAGAACACGAAGUGGUUGAUGCCAUGUUUCCAAGAAAAGCUUCUAAGCUUCAGGUAACCAGGAACCGUACCCCAAACCGACACAGGUGGUUGGGUAGAGAAUACCAAGGCGCUUGAGAGAACUCGGGUGAAGGAACUAGGCAAAAUGGCACCGUAACUUCGGGAGAAGGUGCGCCGGUGAGGGUGAAGCAUUUAUUGCGUAAGCCCAUGCCGGUCGAAGAUACCAGGCCGCUGCGACUGUUUAUUAAAAACACAGCACUCUGCAAACACGAAAGUGGACGUAUAGGGUGUGACGCCUGCCCGGUGCCGGAAGGUUAAUUGAUGGGGUUAGCUAACGCGAAGCUCUUGAUCGAAGCCCCGGUAAACGGCGGCCGUAACAAUAACGGUCCUAAGGUAGCGAAAUUCCUUGUCGGGUAAGUUCCGACCUGCACGAAUGGCGUAACGAUGGCGGCGCUGUCUCCACCCGAGACUCAGUGAAAUUGAAAUCGCUGUGAAGAUGCAGUGUAUCCGCGGCUAGACGGAAAGACCCCGUGAACCUUUACUAUAGCUUUGCACUGGACUUUGAAUUUGCUUGUGUAGGAUAGGUGGGAGGCUUUGAAGCGUGGACGCCAGUUCGCGUGGAGCCAACCUUGAAAUACCACCCUGGCAACUUUGAGGUUCUAACUCAGGUCCGUUAUCCGGAUCGAGGACAGUGUAUGGUGGGUAGUUUGACUGGGGCGGUCUCCUCCUAAAGAGUAACGGAGGAGUACGAAGGUGCGCUCAGACCGGUUGGAAAUCGGUCGUAGAGUAUAAAGGCAAAAGCGCGCUUGACUGCGAGACAGACACGUCGAGCAGGUACGAAAGUAGGUCUUAGUGAUCCGGUGGUUCUGUAUGGAAGGGCCAUCGCUCAACGGAUAAAAGGUUCUCCGGGGAUAACAGGCUGAUACCGCCCAAGAGUUUAUAUCGACGGCGGUGUUUGGCACCUCGAUGUCGGCUCAUCACAUCCUGGGGCUGAAGCCGGUCCCAAGGGUAUGGCUGUUCGCCAUUUAAAGUGGUACGCGAGCUGGGUUUAGAACGUCGUGAGACAGUUCGGUCCCUAUCUGCCGUGGACGUUUGAGAUUUGAGAGGGGCUGCUCCUAGUACGAGAGGACCGGAGUGGACGAACCUCUGGUGUUCCGGUUGUCACGCCAGUGGCAUUGCCGGGUAGCUAUGUUCGGAAUAGAUAACCGCUGAAAGCAUCUAAGCGGGAAACUAGCCUCAAGAUGAGAUCUCACUGGGACCUUGAGUCCCCUGAAGGGCCGUCGAUGACUACGACGUUGAUAGGUUGGGUGUGUAAGCGCUUUGAGGCGUUGAGCUAACCAAUACUAAUUGCCCGUGAGGCUUGACC
rnacentral:rRNA from 1 species